rnacentral:lncRNA from 1 species
UAAGGAUUGAGAAAAGGCAGAUGGAAAAAAAAUAGAGACAGAAACACAGAGUAGAUUCAGGAGGACUGUCCGAUCAAUGCCUUUCAGCACACCAGACAGCCCUGGAGUUUAAUUUAGACCCUGCUUAUAUAUGAAGGGGCCAGACCCUCACCCUGCUCCCUGCUUUGGCAGUCAUGACAGGCUGAAAAAAAGACCCAGUAAGAUGUAGGCCUCUGACUCAGCAACAUGUGCUGAGCUUCUGACCUUGCCUGACCUUGCCCCAGCCACUAGGAAGCCAGAUACCCUCCAUGUGGCAAGGAACCAAUCAAAAGUUAGCCAGCUGGUUCUGGAUGUACUUUACGGUAACAGUGGAGUACAGAGCAUAGCAACCGCCCCGGGGGUGGGGUGGGGUGGUAUUUGUGGACUCAUUUAAACCCACCUUCAGUAACUAAUACAGUUACUCUAUCUAGGGAGAUGUGCAGGUUUUGGGAAGCAUGGAAGGGCCUGGUGACAGGUGUCACGGAGUGAGAACUUGGCUCAGGAAUGCCCCUGCCCAGGAGACCAUAUAUUCCUGACAACUCGCUCCAUAGAAAUGGAAGAACCAGGAGUUCCAGUGCCCGUCAAACGUGUGCUCCUCAGAAUGGAAGCACUGUAGAGAGGAUUUCCUGCCAUUGAUGAGGAGAGUCUGAAAGAGAGUCUUUAGGAAAACCAGUGUUAGCCAGCCAGCUGAGCCUAAAUGACUGGAUCCAGAUGGAGCCAGACAUGCGAUGAGACACUGUGCCUGUGAAGAAGAAAGAAAGCCAAUUGCUGCCUCCUGGGGAAUGGGAGUGGUUGCUGUGAAAUCGAAAUUGAAAGAAUCUACAUAAUCCGUGAACUACCACUACAACCAGAAACAACAAAGAAACCAAAAAAGAAAAAACAGUCAGUUCUUCCAGCCCUUCCAUUUCACAAGGUUAGAGGUACCCCUGAUCUCUGCCACAUCUGUGAGUUAUGUCACCCAGACUUAUGGUGGUCUUCUCCAUGUCCCACAACACAGGAUGGUCAUGGAAUUUAUGCUCCAUGCAGAUCUGUGUGAGCAAGAGGUUGGGAAGCUGACUGUCACUCAGCAGCCAUCAGAAACCAAGAAGCCAGUUUC